rnacentral:lncRNA from 1 species
GUACUUCACAGUUCUAGCAUUUUUGUUUCAAUGAAUGAGAACAUUUUACUCAUUGUUCUAGUGGUUCUGCCUCUAUCAUAUUACUACACCCAGGAUAAAGGCUACGCCUCUGCAAUUUAUGUCUAUGUUCUGGUUGCAUAUAUCACACUACUUGUUGGUAUUUAAUGGGCUCAAUUGUUAUAAGAUUCUGUCUCAUCUUCUUUUGAUCAUGAUGUUCCAAGAUGUUCUGUC